rnacentral:lncRNA from 1 species
AGGGAUAAAAUAUUGAUGAUGGACUUUUAAAUCUUAGAAGAUAGUAGAAUUCAUUCUCUACUUGACUGUUCUAAUGGAUUGUUGUUUCCGCUGCAUUUGUUGAUCUAAAACUUGUUGUCUAUUAUAUUCUAUCAGAUUUUUCUCUGUUGAGAACUAAGAUAAUUUGUUGCAUAUUAUCUUAGUCAUAAUAUUCUUUAUUGGGCUAGUUGAGCUCACCAUUUUCUUUUUUGUUCCAUUUUUCUUCUCAGGAGGUGAGAAUAUAGCAGGAUCUAGCCGGGGUAUGGAGUGAUGGUUCUAGAAAAUUGUUUUAGCAGUCCUCACUAUUUUUGUAAAAUAGUGUAUGAGUAAUUGUAAUGAGGGCUUAUUUGAGUGUGGAUAUUGUCUAGAAAAAAUAUUUGUAUUUAAACUCACAGUAUGUGUUGUCGUAUUUUCCACGACAAUUGUAAUAAUAAAGUUGUAGUUGUUUCUGUACCAUGUAUUUGGCGACUCAGAA